AGUGAACGCUGGCGGUAGGCCUAACACAUGCAAGUCGAACGGCAGCACAGUAAGAGCUUGCUCUUACGGGUGGCGAGUGGCGGACGGGUGAGGAAUACAUCGGAAUCUACUUUUUCGUGGGGGAUAACGUAGGGAAACUUACGCUAAUACCGCAUACGACCUACGGGUGAAAGCAUGGGAUCUUCGGACCUUGCGCGAUUGAAUGAGCCGAUGUCGGAUUAGCUAGUUGGCGGGGUAAAGCCCCACCAAGGCGACGAUCCGUAGCUGGUCUGAGAGGAUGAUCAGCCACACUGGAACUGAGACACGGUCCAGACUCCUACGGGAGGCAGCAGUGGGGAAUAUUGGACAAUGGGCGCAAGCCUGAUCCAGCCAUACCGCGUGGGUGAAGAAGGCCUUCGGGUUGUAAAGCCCUUUUGUUGGGAAAGAAAAGCAGCAGGUUAAUACCCCGCUGUUCUGACGGUACCCAAAGAAUAAGCACCGGCUAACUUCGUG
rnacentral:rRNA from 1 species